GUGAGGAAUAUUGGUCAAUGGGCGGGAGCCUGAACCAGCCAAGUCGCGUGAAGGAAGAAGGAUCUAUGGUUCGUAAACUUCUUUUGCAGGGGAAUAAAGUGCAGGACGUGUCCUGUUUUGUAUGUACCCUGAGAAUAAGGAUCGGCUAACUCCGUGCCAGCAGCCGCGGUAAUACGGAGGAUCCGAGCGUUAUCCGGAUUUAUUGGGUUUAAAGGGUGCGUAGGUGGUUUGAUAAGUCAGCGGUGAAAGUUUGCAGCUUAACUGUAAAAAUGCCGUUGAAACUGUCGGACUUGAGUGUAAAUGAGGUAGGCGGAAUGCGUGGUGUAGCGGUGAAAUGCAUAGAUAUCACGCAGAACUCCGAUUGCGAAGGCAGCUUACUAAGCUACAACUGACACUGAAGCACGAAAGCGUGGGGAUCAAACAGGAUUAGAUACACUUGUAGUCC
rnacentral:rRNA from 1 species